UUACGGUCACAUCUUGUUGAAACACCGUUACCCGUACUAUCACCAAAGUUAAGCAUCGUCGAGCCUGGUUAGUAACUAGAUAGGUGACCACUUGGGAAUAGCAAGCGCUGUAA